ACUCGCUAACCAGCAAGUGCCGAGCUGAAACCAGCACUUGGGUUAAUGGCACCCAGUGCCUGGAAAUCCCAACACUCAAAGAGAAGAAUAGACUCAGGAAACCCAUUGCAGAGAAACUGUCAUGAUCGGAAUAACCGCAGCAUUGAGUAGCUGAAACUGCUCCUGGGGAAGGAGUUUCAGAGACACCAGCCCAACUCCAAGCUGGAGGAGUCAACAACCUGGAGAUGUCAGCUACCGAAAUAUAGCCGAGCUUUUGCAGCAUCUGCCAAAAGCCUACAGCAGGAUAUUUGUGAAGGGGAUGCCUGUUGCCUCAAACUAUGUAGAGGAAAUUCCUCAGGAUGUCUUGCUCACAGAGUCAGAGUACUGCUUGUGAGAUGCAGGAUAUGUGCGCCUUUUAUAAAGGCAAAAGCUCAUUUAUAUCCUUGUAGGAAAGAAAGUUAUGGCUGUGUUGUCGAUUUUACAAGAUAUGUUUAUCAAAGUCUUU
rnacentral:lncRNA from 1 species